GCAAGCCGGAAUGUUUGGCAGAAGCAAGAAUAUUUCUGUGCUGUUUAUGAGGUAUAUAAAAAGAUUCAAUAUGCUAAGUGGAAUACUCUACAGAAGAAAAUUCUUUUCCUAGAAGCAUGAAGUGAGUGCUAGAAAUGACCUCUGUCACUUACAUUUGAAACAUAACAAAGGUAAAGUGUACUUUUUCUUUGUUUACUGGAGGAAGCUACAGUUUUGACUCUAUCUUCAGUUUUCAGGAGAAUUAGUUGUCUUGGAGAAUAUGCUCUUGUUUCUGAUUUAUGCUUCUAGUUCCUAUUAGUGAUUGGUUAUA
rnacentral:lncRNA from 1 species